rnacentral:lncRNA from 1 species
AUGAAGGGAGUGAGAGAAAGAGAGGGAGAGAGGGGGAGGGAGGGGAGGGAGGGGAGGGCUGUUGCUACAGACUCCUGCUGCCGUAGUGUAGUACCACACUCUUGGCAAAUGAGCGGCCGCAGACGGAAGUCACAGGCGGCCAGACAAGCGGACAGGAAGCGUGGCGUGGCCCCCUCUUUCUCUCUGUCUGGACACUCCCAGUGGCUGUUCCCCAGGCGACCGGGCCACUGGGUUCGGGCUAAACUGACUGCAGGAGGAGCGUCAGCUCCGUAGUAGAGAGGACAGCAGGACAGCAGGUAAGGGUAAUGAGAACAGGCAGAGAAAGGAGGAGGCGGACAAGAGAAAGGAGGAGCGCAAGCUAGUUGUCCCAAAGGGGCUUUGGGGGUGAGGGACCAUACACUGUCCAGACAGACACACACACACACACACAUACACACACACACACAUUCAAGAUUAAACACAUGAGCAGAUACAUUCAGUUAAAGUGCAUUUAUGUAUCCAAAAAAGCUACAUAUCAUUUCUCACAAACACACAAUGUGAAUUUGUGAAAUGUUUAGCUCAUUUGUUUGCUUUGCAAGAUACUUUUUUGUUUUUUGAGAUACAUGCAUAUACGUUUUACAAAAUGUAUUUUUGUAAACUAAAGAAAUAAUAAUUACAAUGUAACGCAAAUGGUAUCUAAUGUCAUUAUGAAUUGUGUAAAAAUAAACGGAUAAAUAUGACAUCUUCGUCUGUUUCUUUUGUUAUUUCAAUUUCAACCUAAUGAUAUGUAAGAACUGUUGGUUUCCACAGUGUUUUGCAUUGCAUGAGAGCAUAUUGGUUGCGUAGGCAACGCCUGGCGGAGGGGAAUUAUCCACAAAUAUCCUAGAUUCAGUGUGUCUGGGUGUGUUUGUGUGUACGUGUAGCCAGACUGUGCUUGGGGAGCAGUGCGGCCAGGCUGCAGAUAUCAUCCAUCUCCCUGUCACUGGCCCAGGGGCUGCUGGGAAGGCAGCAGACAGCUCCUCGGCUCUGACGACCGGAGCUGCAUCCUAAUUCUCCAACUCGGAUCGCACGGAACCAUCACUCUCUACACUCCUCCCCCGCCACCCAGGACGGAAAAUCGUUAACCCUGCAAUCUGGGAACAAAGCACAGCGCUAAGCCAGUCUACCAAAGCCUGUUGCUCGCAUCUUCUCCAUUAUUCCUCAUAUUUGACCAUGUCUCACAGUUCACACACUGACUGGGCAAUGAGUUGUUAAUGAGGUGAAAGACGAGAAUUUGAAAGCCCUAGCUGAAUCUCAGCAAACAAUCUGAAAUAGUUCCACUGCCUGCACUUCUGUUGGUAAACUUAGCUUAUUAUGUUUAUUAUUUGUAAGGUCUUCUAUCCUGCAUUGACUUUUGCCGAUAACUUAUUCAUUGACUAGAAUGCACUUACUACUAAACUGUGUGGUAAUUUCAACUAGCUUUCUUCAAACGUAAGCACUAACUGUAAGUCACUCUGGAUAAGAGCGUCUGCUAAAAGACUACAAUGUAAUAAAAAAUAAAAAGAAGUAACGUAAAUAAUGUCAAUGUCAAAAACAUCCUGAAGAUGGAUUAUUAUUAUACUACAUUGCCCAAAUCAUACAAACCUUCCAGAUGUUCUAAGAUAUUUAGAAGAUGCUAUUAAGUAAUGUAGGGCCUUUCUAUGUGAAGGGGGUGUAAUAUUAUUUAUGCAAAUGUUUGAUAUCUUUUGUUGACAUAUUAGUUGUCCUAUUAACACAAAGAAAUGUAGGCUUCAUAAGCUUUACAAGACACAAAGGCAACCCAUUUAUGUUGCCACCCAUUUAUGUACUGUCAUGAAAAGUUCACCUUGUGAGGUAACCAGUUCAUGUUAAUUGCAGAUCAAAUUGUGAAUAAAAUGACAUCUCUAAAGUUCUUCCUAACAAAUUAAUGUUUUAAUGUUCUUCUAAUCAAUAUACCUAACACACAUUUUGUAACAUUAUGAAGCCAAACAGUGAUCAGUCAAUAAAAUUUUAUAUUUCAUAUUUUAUAUCUUCCUGGGCUCUCCAUGGUGGAUAGUGGCCUCUUUAAUACCUUCGCCUUGUGGUGGGAAAAAGAACAUUCACAGAGGACUUCUGCUGUCAGUUUUUCUAUCGCUGGGAAAUCAGUUGAACCGCAACUCAGAAAUGUUGCUCUGAACUCAUAAGACCCUCCUGAACUUGCAAGCUGAAGAAUCCAUUCCUGCACCACACAAAGGAGACUUUGAUUUCUGAUGAGUAAAACAAACACCAUGCUUGUACAUGUUAUCUGAAUCUGCUGACUGUUCUCUUGAAGUUUUGGCCCCAAGACAUCUCACAUAAAAAACAACAAGACAUCAUCCGCACAUGGCCAACCACAAGCUUCUCCCUGUUACAAAUGGAGCUUAAAAAAACCCUCAGCCAAAGCAAACAACUGUCAGUUGGAUACAAUCAGUGGUAUGUCUCUCUCUCUCUCUCUCUCUCUCUCUCUCUCUAUGUGUGUGUGUGUGUGUGUGCAUGUGUGUAAAAAACAAAGUGCAUGUAUGUGUAUCAUUGUUUUAUCCUUUAUUUUACGAAAGAGACCACAUUGAGAUUUACAUCUCUUUUACAAAUGUGUCCUGGACAAGAUAGCAGCUGACAUAAUUAACACAACAUAAAAGAAAAGUUGAAACAUAUGUGUAAUUAGAGUUGAAACAAGCUGAUUUAAAAAUUUGCAAUUUCAGUGUAGAAACCGCUCAAUCUGUGAUUUAAAAUCAG